rnacentral:lncRNA from 10 species
GGGCAGUACAAAUGGCUCUCCAGUGGGACUCAAGAGAACUGAUGUCUAGUCUUCUCGACCUACAGACUGUGGAAACAUUGACUGGCAAGUCAUUAAAAAUCUCUGGGGCUUCAUGUGUCUCAUCUUAUGGUAUUUAUGUGGGAAGAUGGAAGGUGGUAGAUCUACAAAUUCUGAAAUUCUAUGAGUUUCAACAUUGUUUGAUCAUCCCAGAUAUCACUUUGCUGCCUUUCUUGCAAUUGUGGUAGGCCAUGUGACUCAUUCUGGCUGAUGGACUCUGAGUGGAAAUGUCAUGUGUCACUUCUGGGCUGAGGCAGUCACGAGCUGGUAUGUCUCAUCCAUCUCUCUCUUCCUCUACCGUUGAAUCUUGCAAACCACCAGAUCCAGAAGGAAAAGCUACAGGGUGAAAGUGGUGCCUGAUCUUCAAUGAACUUUACAUGUUUGACGAAUAAAACUCAUGGUUAAGCUAGUGAGACUUAUGGCUUUUCUGUUGCAGCAGUUAGCAUUAUUUAUCCUGAUUAAUCCACCCAUCUAAAAUAUUUCCGCAU